ACUCCUACGGGAGGCAGCAGUAGGGAAUCUUCCACAAUGGACGAAAGUCUGAUGGAGCAACGCCGCGUGAACGAUGAAGGCUUUCGGUCGUAAAGUUCUGUUGUAAGGGAAGAACAAGUGCCGCAGGCAAUGGCGGCACCUUGACGGUACCUUGCGAGAAAGCCACGGCUAACUACGUGCCAGCAGCCGCGGUAAUACGUAGGUGGCAAGCGUUGUCCGGAAUUAUUGGGCGUAAAGCGCGCGCAGGCGGCCUCUUAAGUCUGAUGUGAAAGCCCCGGCUCAACCGGGGGAGGGCCAUUGGAAACUGGGAGGCUUGAGUAUAGGAGAGAAGAGUGGAAUUCCACGUGUAGCGGUGAAAUGCGUAGAGAUGUGGAGGAACACCAGUGGCGAAGGCGACUCUUUGGCCUAUAACUGACGCUGAGGCGCGAAAGCGUGGGGAGCAAACAGGAUUAGAUACCCUGGUAGGAUAGCG
rnacentral:rRNA from 1 species